UUUCCUUGUUCACCACAAUAGUGUGCAAAAUUUUGCAUUUCUCCUAUUCGAUGCUUUCUGAUAUGCAAAUCGAUAAUACUUAUGGUAACACCUGCUUAUAAUUGCCAUCAUACAAGUUUGCUUGGCUCUUUUGAAAUUUUCAUCUAAUAUAUGUAUUUGAACUGUUAUUUUCACUCAAAGGGUCUAAUAUAGUUUGGUUGAAAUGUGGAAAGAGAAAGCAUUCUCUCUUAAACAUAUCACAUUGGCCAAAGCAUGUGUGAUUUGGAAACAGAUCUUGACAAUCUUCAUGUGCCCAAACAUAAGCAAGUGUCCUUCCUUUUUUCCUAAGAAUGGCUCCUGAAUAAUAAGUUUGAAAAAGCAGCAAAUGACCAGACAGGAAAAGGGAACAUAGAAUUGUAAAAACAAAUACAAAUGGUUCUUCUGCAAAGCCAAUUAAGAUUAAUUUCUUGUUGACAACGAAUGAUCUGACAUGUGUCUAUCUAAUUUAUACAUUUUUUUAUCACCAUUGACAAGUCUUAUGUGUGAAUAACAAACUUAUUGACAACCGAAAGCUACAAAUCGAAAGAAAUGGCGUCGACCGAUCGUCGAAAGGAACCAUUCAGUUUUAAUCAUUGUAAAUCUACCGUUAGCCUUCGAAGUUGUUUGAGUCGCGCUACGUGACGAAAUCUGAUACUCUUUCCUAAAGCCAACCACAUCAUUUUGGAGGUACAUUUACAACGAGAUUCUGCUUUGAGAAUGUUCUAUGAACAAUAAUGAUCAGAGUUACGUCGCAGAGGUGACAAGAGAGAACGUUUACUUAGCGAGUCGUAAGUCUUGUGUUACAAGUCAUCAUGAGGUGUUUCCGUCUGGAAAUAACACUAAAGGUGAACUGGAACUACUGCCACAAGUUUAAAUAAGAACCUCCAGGGCAUUGUUGAUCAUGGAUAACUCCCUGACAGUUUGGUCGUUUUUUUCGCUGUUUUGGCUUUCAGAAUCUCUGUCUUGGACCAUUAAACAGCCCGACAGUGUAUACAGAGGAUCACCGAUCACACUGGAAUGGACAAUAUCACUAACAAAAGAAGAAAAGAAAAGAGCCGAUCGCUUUUCUUUGAUUCUCUUGGAACGUGAGAAGUUUCUAUAUAGCAAUCAGUGGCAGAUCAUGGCUGUUAAACAAUAUUAUAAUGGUAUUUAUCAGGAAAUCGAUGAUGAGGACACUUUUGAUGUGAUUCCUGGAAAGGACAUGGCGCUCAAAUUGAACAAUGUUACUGACACUGAUGCUUCUCGAUUUCGCUGCACAUUUCUGAGCUCAUUUGCUUCUCCGAAGAGUAUCAUUGAGGUAGAAA